CAGACCCAUAUAUUCUAUGGUUCAUUGCAGUCCAGCGCAGGUAACGGAAGACGGUGAAAAUCCGUCGCGGACGCGCCGCUGUAACCGGUAGACGAUGGACCGGACACUGAUUGCCAGGCAAUCGGGAAGUCCCCAUCACAUGUCGCACCGGGAGCCAGAAGACGACCUGAUGCUGCCGUAUCUC
rnacentral:ncRNA from 2 species